AUUAUUGAAUAAACUUGGUUAGGUUGCUGCUGGCCUUCAGGAGCAUGUGCACGCCUAUUCCAUUUUUAAACCCCUGUGCACUUUGUAUAGACCUGGAAUAUCUCUCGAGUCCCAAAUGUUUGGAGCUCGGUCUUGAGAACUGCCGAGUUGAAAAACCGGCUUUUCUUGUCUUUCAGGUCUGUAUCUCUUCUAUACACCCGACAAAAAUGUAUCAGAAUGCUGCUUUUGGGGCCUUUUGUGCCUUUAAAAAAUACAUACAACUUUCAACAACGGAUCUCUUGGCUCUCGCAUCGAUGAAGAACGCAGCGAAAUGCGAUAAGUAAUGUGAAUUGCAGAAUUCAGUGAAUCAUCGAAUCUUUGAACGCACCUUGCGCUCCUUGGUAUUCCGAGGAGCAUGCCUGUUUGAGUGUCAUGAAAUUCUCAACCUUUCUGUCUUUUACAAGACCAGUCUGGCUUGGAUCGUGGGGGUUGCAGGCUCAUCCGAGCCAGCUCUCCUUAAAUGUAUCAGCAAAGUCAUUGCUUGAUCAUCUUUUGAUAUGAUAAUUAUCUAUAUCAUUGGAGAUCAGCCUAAGACUGGCUUCUAACUGUUUCUCUUUAUAAGAGACUUCUUUGACAAAUUUGACCUCAAAUCAGGUAGGACUACCCGCUGAACUUAAGCAUAUCAAUAAGCGGAGGAAAAGAAACUAACAAGGAUUCCCCUAGUAACUGCGAGUGAAGCGGGAAAAGCUCAAAUUUAAAAUCUGGUGGUCUUUGACUAUCCGAGUUGUAAUCUAGAGAAGCGUCAUCCGUGCUGGACCGUGUACAAGUCUCCUGGAAUGGAGCGUCACAGAGGGUGAGAAUCCCGUCUUUGACACGGACUCCCAGGACAUUGUGAUGCGCUCUCAAAGAGUCGAGUUGUUUGGGAAUGCAGCUCUAAAUGGGUGGUAAAUUCCAUCUAAAGCUAAAUAUUGGCGAGAGACCGAUAGCGAACAAGUACCGUGAGGGAAAGAUGAAAAGAACUUUGGAAAGAGAGUUAAACAGUACGUGAAAUUGUUGAAAGGGAAACGCUUGAAGUCAGUCACAUUGGCCAGGGAUCAGCCUUGCUCUUGCUUGGUGUACUUCUUGGUUGAUGGGUCAGCAUCAAUUUUGACCAGUGGAAAAAGGUCAAGGGAAUGUGGCAUCUUCGGAUGUGUUAUAGCAUUUGGUCACAUACA
rnacentral:rRNA from 1 species